AUGGGAGGUGAUAGAAGUUGGAGCUGUAGAGCAUGUCAAACUGUGGCAGUCACAUUGCUCCUGUGCUCUUUAGCCCUUUGUUUAAACUUGCGAGUGCUGGGCAAAAAAGUUAAACAUGAGGGAUCUAGUGAGACUGCAGUGAAAGAUGGAAGAAAGGGAAGCAUUCUCUUUCAUGGAAAAAGGCUUAACUUCCAGUCAGGAUCUGCUUCUUCUGCGGUUGCCACAGGACAUGCGUUGCUGCAAGUUGACUUGCAUCAGUCAAGCAUCACAGAGAGUAGAUCAAAGCUGAAGAAUGACACUGCUAAUGAAGUAGCAUGGAGGCAAUUAAACUCUUCACUACUCUGUGGCGAUAACAAGAUGAAGCUGAAGGCCAUGGGGCCUGGUGCUGCUGAUCUACAACUGCACAUAGAAAAUGCACAACCCUUAAAACUGAAGCAUGUGCCUGAAAGCUGUGGUUUGUCAAUACACCAGAAUUCACUGGGACUAGUUUUAAAUGUCCCUUAUAAUGCCUGCAGUGUGCUAACAGAGAAUGGAAGCUAUGUGUUGCCAAUGAUUUGGCGGGGGAUGGCAGUUAAAUUCAUCUGCCCUGUUGUCAAUCCUGAUGCAACUCCUGCUUCGACAGUCCCUGGACCUGUUCAACAGCCCUGGAAAUUUCCUUUCUCUCUCAGGCCGUGGCACUUCCAUCGCUCGAAACGACAAGCAAAACAGCCCUGCUAUCCUAAUCUACAUAAUUCCUACUGGUAUAACUGUUACAUGCAUAUGAUGGCGCCAGGUGCUAAGACUAACCCAACUACAACUACCGCUCCCCCUCACACAAAGCCACCUGCAUAUUCAUAUCCUCUGUACUACCCAUAUAACUUUUAUUACCCCUACUACUCCUACUAUCUCCCAGUGAGGAACACUAUGCCACCAGCUACAACCACUGUGGCACCAUCUACGACUGUUAGACCUAGCAGCAUCAAAAAUCCUUCCAAGCGCCCUGCCUACUACCCUCCACAUUUUCCUAAUAUGCACUACCUUCCACCAGGCCAACCGGUGCAAAUGAUCCCUGACAAAACUCAGGUUUACUACUACAACCCGGAGACUGAAUAUUUCUAUGGAAAGCCUUCAUACCAACAAAAACCAAAUGUGCCAAAGCAACCUACUUGGUCUCAAUUUACCCCAGUUGCUAUGCCAGGUUACCCAGCUUCCCCUGUGAAACUGAGUUACCAAAGCCUUGUGAGCCCAGAAACCUCUGCAGCCCCUAUAGCCCCAUAUGUUCCAUUUGACAAGCUCCCUUUUGAGCCAUAUAUUGUAUACAAGGCUAAGAAACUCCCUGAUGACCAGAAGUACAUGGCCAAAGCCGGUUUUAAAUCUAGAUUCCAAACACAUUCAGGCUUCCCUUUGCAAAGUGCUUCCAGGUUUCCUCAGUACAAAGGUCAAGGAGGUCCGACUGGGAAUUAAGCAGAGCUGUAAGUGCUAAGGGUUUCUUGAUGGUGUGAAUUUGGUAAUGGUUAAAUUGUUCUAAGAAAAUCUUGUUUUCUCGUGGUGCAUGAUAAAAAUUCAUUAAAGACUUUUCUACUGUGAACUUGUUCUCAUGUAUGUGUUUUUAUUUAUUUUUUUUAUUAUUAUAAACACUACAAAAGACUACUCUCUUCAUUCAUGUGAAAAGUACUGGUCAUUUAAUGAUGGUGAAAUGCACAGUCCUAAGCAUGUUGGUUGUCAUGGUACGCCCCUUUUUAAAACACCAAACUGAAUUACUUUUCAAAUGUUUGACCUAUUUAUGGCAAACCCCCUCAAUACAUGUUAGAGCUCAUACUAAGACAAUGAAUUAAAGUCUGUAGAGGGCUACCUUUAGUUCUUGUUUAUGGAACACAUUUUUUUUUUUUUUUUUUUCUCUUGUGUCUUUGCACGAACUUUUUUGCAUAAAUCCCAUUCACCCACUGCACACAUAGACCCUAUUCUGUCUGUUCCUAUAUAGUUUUGCACAGUGCUCUCUCUCCCCCUUGGGCACCCCGUGACUGUGUGUGUACACACUUCCCUGAAACUCAACCACACGUGACAACUGAGAGAUGUGUAAUGCUGGACUCUGAAUCCAGACAUGCUCAUUGUCAUUCAUCCACUUCAUUUUCUAAACGCUACUUGGAGGGUGCAAAGCUCCAGAACAAGAAAUCAAGUAGAUCAUUCAUGCAACACUGCAUAUGUGUGUCUCUGCAGCUGGUUAAAUUAUUCAGUCAUUUAAAGAAGUGGUUGCAUCUCUUUAGCCAAGGUGAGCGUUUUAUGUGGUACACAUGAUUUUGCUUUAGCUUUUUAUCAGUGAUAAAGAAUUUGGAUGUUUGUAUCAGGCUAUAGAUUUGUUUUGUGGCUUUGUUUAAAUGAACUUAAUGAAAGGAUUACAACCAGAGACUGAAAUUAUACAUUUUUAAAAAAUCUCAUUUUGUUAUGUAAUCUUUGUUUUUCUAUCCAUGCUACCACAGGAAACAUUAAGAUACCGUGCACUAAAUGGACUGGAACAGCCAUUGUUUAAACAACUAAUUUUGGUCAAAGAUCUGUAUUCCUCUCCUGUUUAUGUCUGGCUAGAUUCCCGACCAGAUCUCACAGCUCCUCCUCCAUCUCUAAAAUUUGCUCCGCCUACUCUACUUUGUAUCUUUAUGGAGGACUAUGAUGUGGACAUGGAUGAGGAAGAGGAGGGAGACGUAUUCACUAGAAAGGCCACAACGUGCCACUGGUGGGAAGAUGCACAGCAUCAGGGAGGAAGACUAGGAUGCAUGGUAAACAGUCGCAGCUGGGCAGAGGAGCUUAAGGAUAUCUUUGCACCACAGGCAGAUCACUGUUAUAGUGGAGCAAGAACCAGGCUGUCCAGCAUCUCUGUGAGUCAUUCACUGUCUCUUGUUUGAUCCACACAUGGAAAUAAAUGAGGACACUUGUUCUGAUGGCUACGUAUCUUGUAGUUGUUGAAGAGACUUCUCCAAAUAAAAAGGAAUGGGCUAUAGGGAAAAAAUUGUGGGUAAAAGUGCAACAGCAGGCUGUGUUUAUCACCAUAUUUGCAAUAUGCAGUUCUGUUUUCAUAUGCAUGCAGCGUAUAAUUAUAUAUAUAUAUGCAGCAUAUUUUCCAUAAGAGAAAUUCCUGGCAUGGAGAGACUGAGAAUAUUUGGCUUGAUGUUGACGAAAGAAGGAAGAUGAGUCAGUCUUUCGUCAUUUAAUCAGUGCACAACUGCACUGUGACACAGCACUGUGGGAACUAACUACAAGCCUGUUUGUUUGUGUGUGUGUGUGUGUGCAACACUGGUUGUUUAUGCACGUGUGGACAAAUCCGCCAUGUGCUUCCUUAUGCCUCUUACGACUCAUUACACUUGUACCUUUGAUGUGGGAUGAGGCUGGAGGAAAUUCCUCCAGAAGACAAAACAAAUAUAACAAAUCUCCUACGCUGUGUAAGGCCAAUAAUCAGAUGUUGAUCUAUUAAAGAACCAGCUGUGGCCUCUUUAACUAUUUUGUUGCAUUCUCAUCCAUUAGGCCUUCUAGCCUAGUCCAACUGCCAUUUUUUUUAUAGAUCCAAAAUGUCUGCCUCCACUUAUCAGAAACACAGAUUUAUUAUUUGUCCCUCUCCUUCCAGUAAAGGAAAGAUGAAGAGGAGAAGGCAAGAGAGAGAAAAUAGAGGAAGAUGGAGGUACAGAUAACAGAUCAGGAAAGCAGUGGCAGCACUGAGCAGCUUCGUCUCUCCCCUCCCUUGAUUUCUCUCUCCUCCUCUGCUUCCGUCGCUUCCCACUCCUUCCUCUCCUUCCUCUCCUGCUCCCACGUCUCCCCACCCUCCCCUAUCUGCUGCCUCUCCCCUCCCUGCUCUGUCAUCCCUUCCUCCCACCCUCGCUCUCCUGCACGGAGCUGCGGUAUAAGAGAGGGUCUCCUGGGUCUAGUUUCACUGCAGUGUAGAGGAGGGCAGGACGGCUGUUUUAGUACGAUGCGCUGAAGGAUGGUGCACCAGGAGAAACGCAUUUACCAG
ensembl:lncRNA